rnacentral:rRNA from 1 species
GUAGGUGGCAAGCGUUGUCCGGAAUUAUUGGGCGUAAAGCGCGCGCAGGUGGGUUCUUUAAGUCUGAUGUGAAAGCCCCCGGGCUCAACCGGGGAGGGUCAUUGGAAACUGGGGAACUUGAGUGCAGGAGAGGAAAGUGUAAUUCCACGUGUAGCGGUGAAAUGCGUAGAUAUGUGGAGGAACACCAGUGGCGAAGGCGACUUUCUGGCCUGUAACUGACACUGAGGCGCGAAAGCGUGGGGAGCAAACAGGAUUAGAUACCCUGGUAGUCCACGCCGUAAACGAUGAGUGCUAAGUGUUGGGGGGUUUCCGCCCCUCAGUGCUGCAGCUAACGCAUUAAGCACUCCGCCUGGGGAGUACGGUCGCAAGACUG